UACGUAGGGGGCAAGCGUUGUCCGGAUUCAUUGGGCGUAAAGAGCGUGUAGGCGGCCAGGUAGGUCGGUUGUGAAAACUGGAGGCUCAACCUUCAGAGGUCGACCGAAACCAUCUGGCUAGAGUCCGGGAGAGGAGAGUGGAAUUCCUGGUGUAGCGGUGAAAUGCGCAGAUAUCAGGAGGAACACCAGUAGCGAAGGCGACACUCUGGGCCGGUACUGACGCUGAGGAGCGAAAGCGUGGGGAGCAAACAGG
rnacentral:rRNA from 1 species